rnacentral:rRNA from 1 species
UACGUAGGUGGCAAGCGUUGUCCGGAAUUAUUGGGCGUAAAGCGCGCGCAGGCGGUCCUUUAAGUCUGAUGUGAAAGCCUACGGCUCAACCGUGGAGGGUCAUUGGAAACUGGGGGACUUGAGUGCAGAAGAGGAAAGCGGAAUUCCACGUGUAGCGGUGAAAUGCGUAGAGAUGUGGAGGAACACCAGUGGCGAAGGCGGCUUCUGGUCUGUAACUGACGCUGAGGCGCGAAAGCGUGGGGAGCAAACAGG